rnacentral:rRNA from 1 species
AGUCGAGCGAAUGGAUUAAGAGCUUGCUCUUAUGAAGUUAGCGGCGGACGGGUGAGUAACACGUGGGUAACCUGCCCAUAAGACUGGGAUAACUCCGGGAAACCGGGGCUAAUACCGGAUAACAUUUUGAACCGCAUGGUUCGAAAUUGAAAGGCGGCUUCGGCUGUCACUUAUGGAUGGACCCGCGUCGCAUUAGCUAGUUGGUGAGGUAACGGCUCACCAAGGCAACGAUGCGUAGCCGACCUGAGAGGGUGAUCGGCCACACUGGGACUGAGACACGGCCCAGACUCCUACGGGAGGCAGCAGUAGGGAAUCUUCCGCAAUGGACGAAAGUCUGACGGAGCAACGCCGCGUGAGUGAUGAAGGCUUUCGGGUCGUAAAACUCUGUUGUUAGGGAAGAACAAGUGCUAGUUGAAUAAGCUGGCACCUUGACGGUACCUAACCAGAAAGCCACGGUAAUACGUGCCAGCAGCCGCGGUAAUACGUAGGUGGCAAGCGUUAUCCGGAAUUAUUGGGCGUAAAGCGCGCGCAGGUGGUUUCUUAAGUUGAUGUGAAAGCCCACGGCUCAACCGUGGAGGGUCAUUGGAAACUGGGAGACUUGAGUGCAGAAGAGGAAAGUGGAAUUCCAUGUGUAGCGGUGAAAUGCGUAGAGAUAUGGAGGAACACCAGUGGCGAAGGCGACUUUCUGGUCUGUAACUGACACUGAGGCGCGAAAGCGUGGGGAGCAAACAGGAUUAAUACCUGGUAUCCACGCCGUAAACGAUGAGUGCUAAUGUUAGAGGGUUUCCCCCUUUAGUGCUGAAGUUAACGCAUUACACUCCCCGCGGAGUACGAGCCGGCAGGUUGAAACUCAAAGAAAUUGAACGGGCCCCGCCAGCGUGUAGCAAAUUGUUUAUUCGAAUGCACGCCGAGAAUUUACAGGCUGGUGGCACUACUCUACAACCCGACAUAUAGGUUCUCCUUCGGGAGCAGAGUGACAGGUGGUGCAUGGUUGUCGUCAGCUCGUGUCGUGAGAUGUUGGGUUAAGUCCCGCAACGAGCGCAACCCUUGAUCUUAGUUGCCAUCAUUUAGUUGGGCACUCUAAGGUGACUGCCGGUGACAAACCGGAGGAAGGUGGGGAUGACGUCAAAUCAUCAUGCCCCUUAUGACCUGGGCUACACACGUGCUACAAUGGACGGUACAAAGAGCUGCAAGACCGCGAGGUGGAGCUAAUCUCAUAAAACCGUUCUCAGUUCGGAUUGUAGGCUGCAACUCGCCUACAUGAAGCUGGAAUCGCUAGUAAUCGCGGAUCAGCAUGCCGCGGUGAAUACGUUCCCGGGCCUUGUACACACCGCCCGUCACACCACGAGAGUUUGUAACACCCGAAGUCGGUGGGGUAACCUUUUUGGAGC